rnacentral:rRNA from 1 species
CACGUAGGGGGCAAGCGUUGUCCGGAUUUAUUGGGCGUAAAGAGCUCGUAGGUGGCUCGGUAAGUCGGGUGUGAAAUUUCGAGGCUCAACCUCGAAACGCCACCUGAUACUGCUGUGGCUUGAGUCCGGUAGGGGAGCGUGGAAUUCCUGGUGUAGCGGUGAAAUGCGCAGAUAUCAGGAGGAACACCAGCGGCGAAGGCGGCGCUCUGGGCCGGUACUGACACUGAGGAGCGAAAGCGUGGGGAUCAAACAGG